CCCAAGCGACUGUUUAUCAAAAACACAGGUCUCUGCUAAACCGUAAGGUGAUGUAUAGGGGCUGACGCCUGCCCGGUGCUGGAAGGUUAAGAGGAGUGGUUAGCUUCUGCGAAGCUACGAAUCGAAGCCCCAGUAAACGGCGGCCGUAACUAUAACGGUCCUAAGGUAGCGAAAUUCCUUGUCGGGUAAGUUCCGACCCGCACGAAAGGCGUAACGAUUUGGGCACUGUCUCAACGAGAGACUCGGUGAAAUCAUAGUACCUGUGAAGAUGCAGGUUACCCGCGACAGGACGGAAAGACCCCGUGGAGCUUUACUGUAGCCUGAUAUUGAAAUUCGGCACAGCUUGUACAGGAUAGGUAGGAGCCUUUGAAACGUGAGCGCUAGCUUACGUGGAGGC
rnacentral:rRNA from 1 species